GACGAACGCUGGCGGCGUGCCUAAUACAUGCAAGUCGAACGCAGUGGGGACGGGUGAGUAACACGUGGGUAACCUCCCAUCAGAGGGGAUAACACUUGGAAACAGGUGCUAAACCGAUACUGAUGGAUGGACCCGCGGUGCAUUAGCUAGUUGGUGAGGUAACGGCUCACCAAGGACACGAUGCAUAGACGACCUGAGAGGGGGAUGGGCAAAGCUGGAACUGAGACAGGGCCCAGACUCCAACGGGGGGCAGAAGUAGGGAAUCUUCGGAAAUGGACGAAAGUCUGACCGAGAAACGCCGAGUGAGUGAAGAAGGUUUUCGGAUCGUAAAACUCUGUUGUUAGGGAAGCGGUAUCUAACCAGAAAGCCACGGCUAACUACGUGCCAGCAGCCGCGGUAAUAC
rnacentral:rRNA from 1 species